rnacentral:rRNA from 1 species
GACGAACGCUGGCGGCGUGCUUAACACAUGCAAGUCGAACGAUGAACCGGAGCUUGCUCUGGGGAUUAGUGGCGAACGGGUGAGUAACACGUGGGCAACCUGCCCCAGACACCGGGAUAACCAUUCGAAAGGAUGGCUAAUACCGGAUACGACCACUUCGGGCAUCCGAUGGUGGUGGAAAGGAUUCUGGUCUGGGAUGGGCCCGCGGCCUAUCAGCUUGUUGGUGGGGUAAUGGCCUACCAAGGCGACGACGGGUAGCCGGCCUGAGAGGGCGACCGGCCACACUGGGACUGAGACACGGCCCAGACUCCUACGGGAGGCAGCAGUGGGGAAUAUUGCGCAAUGGGCGAAAGCCUGACACAGCGACGCCGCGUGAGGGACGAAGGUCUUCGGAUUGUAAACUCCUUUUGCAGGGGAAGAGGAAGGACGGUACCCUGCGAAUAAGUCACGGCUAACUACGUGCCAGCAGCCGCAGUAAUAC